rnacentral:rRNA from 1 species
GACGAACGCUGGCGGCGUGCUUAACACAUGCCAGUCGAACGGAAAGGCCCUGCUUUUGUGGGGUGCUCGAGUGGCGAACGGGUGAGUAACACGUGAGUAACCUGCCCUUGACUUUGGGAUAACUUCAGGAAACUGGGGCUAAUACCGGAUAGGAGCUCCUGCUGCAUGGUGGGGGUUGGAAAGUUUCGGCGGUCGGGGAUGGACUCGCGGCUUAUCAGCUUGUUGGUGGGGUAGUGGCUUACCAAGGCUUUGACGGGUAGCCGGCCUGAGAGGGUGACCGGCCACAUUGGGACUGAGAUACGGCCCAGACUCCUACGGGAGGCAGCAGUGGGGAAUAUUGCACAAUGGGCGGAAGCCUGAUGCAGCAACGCCGCGUGCGGGAUGACGGCCUUCGGGUUGUAAACCGCUUUCGCCUGUGACGAAGCGUGAGUGACGGUAAUGGGUAAAGAAGCACCGGCUAACUACGUG